rnacentral:rRNA from 1 species
UACGGAGGGUGCGAGCGUUGUCCGGAAUCACUGGGCGUAAAGGGCGCGUAGGCGGCUCAUGAAGGCUGUGGUGAAAGUCCGGGGCUCAACCUCGGAUCGGCCGUGGCGACUCGUGGGCUGGAGCACUGUAGAGGCGGGUGGAAUUCCCGGUGUAGUGGUGGAAUGCGUAGAGAUCGGGAGGAACACCUGUGGCGAAGGCGGCCGACUGGGCCGACCCUGACGCUGAGGCGCGAAGGCGUGGGGAGCGAACGGGAUUGAGAA